rnacentral:tRNA from 1 species
GAGGGUGUUGCUCAGUGUAGAGCACAUGCUUAGCAUGCAUGAGGUCCUGGGUUCAAUCCCCAGUGCCUCCA